GGUAGGUCUACGACACCGAGAAUGUGAACCAGAAGGAGAAGUUCGAGGCGGACCUCAAGAAGGAGAUCAAGAAGCUGCAGCACUACUGGGACCAGAUCAAGACCUGGAUCCAGUCCAGCGAGAUCAAGGACAAGAAGAUACCUUGGUAUGGGAUGAAGUGAAGAGUGCGGAGUCACUUGAUCUUCGGUACCCGCGUGUGCUCUACCGACCGCCAUGACGGGCGUUCUCUGUUUUGCCGCCUUCUUCCACCUCCGCCUCCUCCCACCUCUUCUUUGUUGGGUGUAGUCGAAAUCCGUGACAAGAAGCUAGCUAGCUAGCAACCAUGUCUCUUGCCAUGUCCAUAUAUAUACAUCCUUCUCCAUUGUAGAUCCAUUGUAUUUGUAUGUUGCUAUAUUAUGUCAAGUUGAGUGAAGCAAACAUAUCAUUGUGUGUGUGUCAAUGUUGGGGAUAUUGCUUAUCGGGAACUUAUCGGCCGACCCAUGAUAAGGGAUAAAUCGGUCAGUUUAUCGGCAUAUCGGCCAAGUUAUCGCCAUAUCGGCUGAUUUAUCGGCCAAUUUAUCUUAUCGGUCAGACAACGGUAAGCGAUAAAUCGGCCGAUUUAUCAGAAUAUUGAAAGAUAUCUUGAACGGUGGUGUGUGUUAUCAUCUCCUAAUGCUCCUACUAGCUUUCUGACGUUGGCAAAUGAUCUGACUCCUCUCACUUUGCCUAGGAGGAGCACCACUGAUGAUGAGAGCAGAUCCUUUCCCUCAAUAGAUUAGCAUCAUUCCAUUCUUACUCUGUAGUAGAAUUGGUAGUGAUAGAGUGGGUGAAUCUAUGUGAUGUAGAGAUACACUAAGAUCAUGCAAAAAUAUAUAUUAGUUCUGCUAAUGCUUACCAAUGAAUUCAGGUCUGCUUAUUUGAAGGUCCAACACUUGUGCAUACUGAUUUGUGUCCUUUGUGAUUUGGGGAAAGGAAAUAGAAAGGAAAUAGUAAUGUUGCCAAUUGAUGUAGUGGUUUGCAAUUCAGAUCAACUAAACUGAAAGUGAGAUACUGAGAUGUGGAUCACACUAGUACUAUUUCAGUAUUUCUUGCUUGCUUGUUUGCUUCUUCUUUCUCCUGAAGCAGGCGAGCUAAUUUUCUGCUUUUGGUUUCUGCAGCAAUUGGAGGAGGAGUUGGUGCCGAGGACUGGACCGGAUGUGCCUUGAUGCGUGAUCUACAGCACCCUUUAUCUCAGGACCAUGAGCGGAGGCUGGAGCAGAUCCGAAGGGCGUUCCAGGGCCUUGAGGGCUCCCACGUCUGUCCCUUCCAGGAUUGGAGUGUGUUUUCUGAAAUUUUGUGCUUGCUAUGAUGCAGUAUGCUUCGACGGGAGCACCUGCGGAGAGGGUCAGGGAGUGGGUCUCAGAGGUGGCUCAUCCACUUGGAGAUACGCACCUUGUUAAAUCUAGGUUAUGAGAUAUGCUGCUGGAGAGAUGUCGUUAGCAAACUGGAAGGGCUGCAACCAAAUCCAAUCGACAUCAUGGCAGUGGUCUAUGAAUAUCUAAGCUAGUGAUAAUCUUUUUAGCGAUUCCUUUUUUGUUUGGCCUUCUUGUAGUGUAUAUUAGUAGUCGCUGGAGCUGUGAUGGUGAUCUUUUUUUUACUGGUUGUUUGUUAUAGAUGACAAAUCUUUUAGUUGCUGCUUCUUAUGUAUAGAUAAUGUGAUGAAGAUGUAACUGCGACAAAUGAUGUAUGAUUGUACAGAGAAACAAAUGUUGCUUUGAUGG